UUUUUCUUUUUUUUUUUUUUUUUGGAGUUCCCGUCGUGGCUCAGUGGUUAACGAAUCCGACUAGGAACCAUGAGGUUGCAGGUUCGAUCCCUGGCCUUACUCAGUGGCUUAAGGAUCUGGCGCUGCCGUGAGCGGUGGUGUGGGUCACAGACGCAACUCGGAUCCCUCGUUGCUAUGGCUGUGGCAUAGGCUGGAGGCUACAGCUCCAAUUGGACCCCUAGCCUGGGAACCUCCAUAUGCUGCAAAUGAGGCCCUAGAAAAGACAAAAAGACAAAAAAAUUUUUUUUUGUUGUUGUUUUCUAGUAUUUUUCUCUUUAGGGCCAAACCUUCCUGGGCUAGGGGUUGAACUGGAGCUGCAGCAGCAGGCCUAUGCCACAGCCACAGCAAUGUGGGAUCUGAGCCACAUCUGUGACCUGUGCCAUGGCUUGUGGUAACACUGGAUCCUUAAUCCACUGAGUGAGGCCAGGGAUUGAACCCACAUCCUCAUGGAUAUUAGUUGCAUUCUUAACCCACUGAGCCACAGCAGGAACACCAAGAUGUAAAAGUUUUAGAAGCACAUUUUUCAUAAAUGAUUUCUUACCAAAGAAAAAGUCAUUGGAGGUAAUUCUAAUUAAUUUUAGGGUACAGUGUUUGAAGCAACCUAAGCCAAAAACGCUUACAAUGGAAAAAAACUUCUGUUAGCUAUCAAAGAAAGUAUAUUUUUCCACUAUGACAACAAAGCACCUAUCAAUUAAUAAUAAACAUACAGCUGCCUCAUAAUCAAAGAGAAAAAAUAUACUACACAUAUACUCAGCAUACCUAUUAUGCAAGAAUAAUGCUUAAGAGUGGACAACGUAUUGUAACAGUAAAUAGAAAACUAGUUUAUCUUAUGCAUAGUCUAAAUGAGUGGAAGGAUAGAACUGGGAAACAAAGCAUAGAGGAAACGAAGAAAUUGAUAAAACAAUUUUCUAAAUACUUUCUAUAAAACUAUGUACCUAUGAAGAAUAAAAAAUUCUGAAACACCAUUAAAUUGAAAUUCAAUAUUAAUGAAGUUCGCUUGUGGUCAGAAGGUUAAGCCUCCUUCAAUGUCACUGCAAGGGCUUGGGGUCACUGCUGCGGUGCCGGUUCAAUCCCUGGCCUCGGAACAUCCACUUGCCAUGGGUGAGGGCAAAAUAAACCAAAUAUUAAAUGAAACAGUCUCCAGUUAUGUUAACGGCCAAUAAAUGGAGAAAUUCUCUACCUUCAACAUCUAGUUCACUGGCUCGAAAAUAUAUGUAAUCAAGAGUGAGCAAUCUGUAAAUUUAUUAACUAGGUCAGACACAAUGCUACGAAGGACAAAUUGCAAAAAAAAAAAAAAAAAAAAAAAAUCAUUCCAGAAAUAAUGCUAAGAGGGAGUUCCCAUGGUGCAGCGGAAAUGAAUCUGACUAGGAUUCAUGAGGACACAGGUUCAAUCUCUGGCCUCACUCGUUGGGUUAAGGAUCUGAUGUUGCAGUGAGCUGUGGUUUAGUUGCAGACAUAGCUUGGAUCUGGCAUUGCUGUGGCUGUGGCAUAGGCCAGUGGCUACAGCUCGAAUUCGACCCAUAGCCUGGGAACCUCCAUGUGCCAUGGGUGCGACCCUAAAACAAAAAGAAAGAGUUCCCGUUGUGGCUCAGUGGUUAACGAAUCCAACUAGGUACCAGGAGGUUUCAGGUUUGAUCCCUGGCCUUGCUCAGUGAGUUGAGGAUCCAGCGUUGCGGUGAGCUGUGGUGUAGGUUGCAGACGCGGCUCGGAUCCCGCGUUGCUGUGGCUCUGGCGUAGGCCGGUGGCUGCAGCUCCGAUUCGACCCCUAGCCUGGGAACCUCCAUAUGCUGUGGGUAAGGCCCUAGAAAAGGCAAAAAGACAAAACAAAACAAAACAAAACACUGUCUUAAAGCAUCUAACAGUACAAAUUUCUUUUAAAAGGCUUGAGUAAAUUUAUGAUUUUUCAGGUAAGGGCAGUAGACUCGCAGGUUUACGUGCAUGACCCCAAUUGAUACAAAACAUCAUGAGGGAAGCAGCAUGUGAACCUGGAUCUGCAGACCGAGACAAUGUAACUUGACAAUGACUGUCAUUUGAGCCAAAUAGAGGACAUACUAUUACAGCAAAUUCCAGGAGCUUAGGGAAAAAAAAAAAAAAACUUCAAGGGAAAUGCAAGAGAGGAGCUGUGUAACUAAAAAUGUUAUUCGGCCAUCCCUCCUGGAAAUGGUUUCUGGUUCAUCACUGAAGGUAUUAAUCUACUUCAUAAGCUCCCGCAUUAAGAUGCUUCAACAAAUAACUAUAAAAAAUAAAAAAUUAAUGAAGCAAAAAAUAAAUAAAUAAAAUGACCAUAGACUUAUCUAAAAAAAGAUGCUUCAACAUGAGUUGCGGUUUGAUCCCUGGCCUUGCUCAGUGGGUUAAGGAUCUGGCAUUGCCGUGAGCUGUGGUGUAGGUCACAGACACAGCUCGUAUCUCACAUUGCUUUGGCUGUGGUAUAGGCCGGCAGCUCUAGCUCCAAUUAGACCCCUAGCCUGGGAACCUCCUUAUAAUGCAGGAGUGGCCCUAAAAAGCAAAAAAAAAAAAAAAAAAAAAAAAGUUUCAAAAUUAGGAGUUGAGGUAGAAUAAGCAAUGGCACACAGGUGACAAAAAAAGAUAUGUCAUCAACAACAGUUUACUCAAUAGCAUCACAAAUACGAAGAUGUGAACUUGGACAAUGCUCUUUGUCCCUAGGAGAAAUUCCUGUAUCACUGAGGCUGAAACGGGAUGGUCAUUAGCACAUGAUCAAAGAGAGGGUCAUUAGUACAUGAGAAAGGGGAUGCUCAUUAGUACAUGAGAAAGGGGAGGGUCAUUAGCACAUGAGAAAGGGGGUGGUCAUUAGCACAUGAGAAAGGGGGGUGGUCAUUAGCACAUGAGAAAAGGGAUGCUCAUUAUACAUGAGAAAGGGGAGGGUCAUUAGCACAUGUGAAAGGGGAGGGUCAUUAGCACAUGAGAAAGGGGAGGGUCAUUAAUACAUGAGAAAGGGAAGGGUCAUUAGUACAUGAGAAAGGGAAGGGUCAUUAGCACAUGAGAAAGAGAAGGGUCAUUAGUACAUGAGAAAGAGGGUGGUCAUUAGCACAUGAGAAAGGGGACGGUCAUUAGUACAUGAGAAACACUAUCACAGUGCCCUGGAGACAAACCUUUGUCACAUUCCUCAAAACCAGAAAGACUCACUGGGAGGCUGCAGAUGUACUUUCUACUCCUCUCCCAGACAUGAUGACCACUCCACAAAGUGGCUUGGCGUGGAGAUUUUGUAGGUAGAAGGAAAAUAUUACAACAGUUGAGGGAACACAGUCUCCAACAAAACUGUAACCCAGUAAGCCCACUCCACAGACUCCACCAGCAGGUAUCCAUUAACUAGGGUGGACCAUCACAGCAAAGAAACCAGAAAAAAUUUCAGACCCUAGGACUACGUACUUCAAAAGCAAGUUUUGGGGCAAAAUCAUGCAAACCCAGCAGAGUAUGACAUCGGAGUAUACAUUCUCCAACUAGGUAGAGCAGUACUAGAGGGAAAAAAUACAGGAUGUGAGAUAGUACAGGACUUUGAGAUGGAACCAUACGUUCUACCCACAGAUGCCAAACUAGGAGCCUGAAAGAUGCAGCUCUUCACUCCACGGGGACCUGGAGACUACAAAGAGACCUCUCUGUCCACUGACCUCAACCUUUUCCUACAUAACAGUUUCAGAAGAACAAUCCACUGGCUGUUACACGCAUCUCUGAAGCAUGUGGCAAAAGCAGAGGAGAAGAAACGUCUCAGGGGUGCAAACACGCAGACAGGGCUUGAGGCAAUUGCAUGCAAGCUCUGAGGGGCUGGACGGACUCAGAGAGCAGCCAGUGUUUGUCCAUCUUCGGACGAGGUCUCCUGAGAACAUGAGAUGAGGAUGGAACCCAGAGAAGUUCAGGGACUGGGGUCUGGAGGCCUCACCUCUUUUCUAUGUGGACUGAGAAUUGAGCCUCCCAUGGAGGCAUGCCUGAAAGAGAGAUGAGGGGUAGAGGCCCUGAUAAAAAAAGCCAGCAUGGUAGAUGCAAACUAUUGCAUUUGGAGUAGAUAAGCAAUGAGAUCUGAAUACCACAGGGAACUCUAAUCCAGUCACUUGUGAUGGAACAUGAUAGAGGAUAACAUGAGAAAAAGAAUCCAUACAUAGACAGAUAGAUAGGUAGACAGUUGGGUCACUUUGCUGUACAGUAGAAACUGACAGAACACUAUAAAUCGACUAUAAUGGAAAAAAUAAAAAUCAUAAAAUUUUUAAAAAAGAAAGAAAGAAAGAAAAAAAAAAAAAAACAGCACUGGAGAACCAGCAGUCGAGUGAGCCAUAUCCACUGGGGUCCAUGGGUGGGGCAGGGUCACUGGUGGACCCCCAGGCUCUGGGCAUGGUCCCCAUCCUCCAGGUGGGCAUUUCUCUGCUUCGGGCCACAGCCAGGUAUGGGGAUGGAGAUGGGGCUGGGACUGAGGGCAGGGGACCAGCAACUUUUUAUUCUGAACAUCCCGGGAGAGGGACCACUGUAGGGGCAGGUAAGAGUUCCCCCCUCCAUGGGCCACUUCCAGACAGAAGAAUUGGCUUCCAGCUUUCAAUAAAUGUCACCCUCAGUAUGCAUUAGUACACUGAGAAUUUUCACCAUCAUUUGCAAUUAACGUCACACCGUCACACCCUUUCUGCAUGAGAAAGCUGAAUCCCCCCCUCAAUGAACAGACAUCAAUGACUGACACUAAUAAAAAUACGGUAAUACAGUAAAUACGGUAAUAUUUAGAAGUUCCUGUCGUGAUGCAGCGGAAACGAAUCUGACUAGGAACCAUGAGGUUGUGGAUUUGAUCCCUGGCCUUGCUCAGUGGGUUAAGGAUCCGGCGUUGCCAUGAGCUGUGGUGCAGGUCGCAGACGCGGCUCGGAUCCCACGUUGCUGUGGCUGUGGACUAGGCUGGCGGCUACAGCUCCGAUUCGACCCCUAGCCUGGGAACUUCCAUAGGCCGUGGGUGCGGUCCUAAAAAAGACAGAAAGACAAAAAAAAAAAAAAAAAAAAAAAAAGUAAUAUUUAAAAGAAAGAAAGAAAGAAAUAACAGCCCCCCUCACGCUCCUCCAAGUCCAGUAACAACGAGUUCACAGGCGCCAGAGUGCUGUCAGUCAUAAUUCUUUGCAUGUGUCUCUGUAGAAGCUGCAGGCCCACUGGAGGGUCCAAGCGUACAUUUCACAUGUUGCAGGACAGAGUGAUAAGUUAUGGAGAAGAAAAAUGUCCUGAGAGUUCACGAAAAUAAAUAAACUUCUGCAGAACUCUCCGAGGAGGGGCAAGUUAACCAAACACUAUUAAUACCGUGGCUUGCCCUCGGCCCUUCUGAGAUGCAUUCACUCUCUGAUACACCCACAAGGCAUGCAUGUCGCUCUCCACCGCCCAGGGCUCUUUCUCUUGCUACAAAGUGGGUAAAAUAUUCAGAUGAGAAACAGAUACCCUUCCGCAGAAGAAGAAAGAAACAUGAUUGGCGGUGGCUUUUCCAGGGACCCAGGUCUCUGUUCACCUAAGGGGAAAGGACAUUAUCAGUGGGUCUAGAAAGAUAGUUUCAGAAGUCACCCACUUCCGCCUCCUUCUGGAUACACAGGGCACAGGAUCCUAUGCAGAAAUGCAGCUCUUUCCCCAGAACUCCUAAAUCAAAAGCACAUGGAGAGAAAACAGGAGAGUGGGUACAAAGUUUGCCACUGAGCUGGAAAACCGCCUAAGCUCCGGAACAAGCCCUGAUGUGUCAUGAAGUGGGUAGAGCAUCCGAGGAAAAGCUAGGUUUAAACUCCUGAUGCCUCCUCCUGAAGUUUUUCACGGAGUCAACAGAGAUUCCAGAUCAGUAACGCAAAACGGGCUCAAAAGAGCCACGUAACAGAAAUGCAAAGACACCCAGGGGAAGAUGCCAGCCCUCAAGGGAAGCGAUGCUCACCCAGGGAGAGCAGGUUCCUGUAGGUCUCCAGCAUCACGUCCCUGUACAAGGCCCUCUGCGCAGGGUCCAGGCAGGCCCACUCCUCCGGAGAGAACUCCACGGCCACGUCCUCCAAGGUCAAUGGUCCCUGAAAGGAAAACCCGUUUCACCAAGGGGCCCUGAGGACAGUUCUUAUCGUCACACAAAAUGAGAAGAGGAGAGAGGGGUAAGGAUCGACUCAGGUGAAAUAUACAUUAUCAAAUAUCCAAGUAAAAGCAUACGGAGCAAAUAAAUUACGGGUUCUUUUUUUUUUUGGCUAUGUCCAUGGAUGCACAAGUUCACGGGCCAGGGAUCAAACCCUUGCCACGGCAGCAAUAACACCAGAUCCUUAACCACGAAGCCAGGGAACUCCAAAAGGAUGGGUGUUUAAUUGUACUUUCUUAAGCUUUUUCAUGAGAUUGUAACAUUCAAUGUGGAUUUUUCAUUUUUGUGGACAAUACGCAAAAUAUGUACAAAUAAAACCCAACAAUGGGUGGUCUAGGCACAAGUGUUACAUGUUAUAUUCUAUACAUUGAGUGACAGCCAGUAUCUAAAUGAGCUACCGAGUGACUGGUGUCUUCAGAGAUGACAAAGUCCACAGUGCUAUUAACAAAAGUCCAGAUCUUGGAGCUCCCGUUGUGGUGCAGCGGAAACGAAACCCACCAGGAACCAUGAGGUUGCGGGUUCGAUCCCUGGCCUUGCUCAGUGGGUUGAGGAUCCAGCGUUGCCAUGAGCUGCAGUGUAGGUCACAGAUGUGGCUCGGAUCCCGCGUUGCCGUGGCUGUGGUGUAGGCUGGUAGCUGUGGCUCCGAUUCGACCCAUAGCCUGGGAACCUCCAUAUGCCAUGUGGGUGAGGCCCUAAAAAGCAAAAAAAAAAAAAAAAAAAGUCAGAAUCUUAAAUUACGAUGACAACAACAGGAGCAACAAGUAAGGGUGUUUGGACACUUCCUAUAAGCUAUACGUUACACUAAAUGCUUUAUACACAUGAACUUGUUAUCAACCUCAAAAAAAAAAAAAAAAAAAAAAAGAAAGAUCUGUUCCCAUCUUACAGAGGAGAAAGCUGUCAGAGACUCUGAGAAAAACAACUCAGGUCAAGAAGCUAAAAAAUGACACAACACAGACAUGAUCUAAGGUGGCUGGGCUCCAGAACUGAAGCUAAAGAAGCAAAAAGUUCAGUAACAGAAAGAGCAUUAAACGUACACUGAUAGGAGUUCCCGUCGUGGCCAAGUGGUUAACGAACCCAAGUAGGAACCAUGAGGUUGCGGGUUUGAUCCCUGGCCAUGCUCAGUGGGUUAAGGAUCUGGCGUUGCUGUGGC
rnacentral:lncRNA from 1 species